UACGGGGGGGGCAAGCGUUGUUCGGAAUUACUGGGCGUAAAGGGCUCGUAGGUGGCCAACUAAGUCAGACGUGAAAUCCCUCGGCUUAACCGGGGAACUGCGUCUGAUACUGGAUGGCUUGAGUUUGGGAGAGGGACGCGGAAUUCCAGGUGUAGCGGUGAAAUGCGUAGAUAUCUGGAGGAACACCGGUGGCGAAGGCGGCUCACUGGUCCGGUACUGACGCUGAUGUGCGAAAGCGUGGGGAGCAAACAGG
rnacentral:rRNA from 1 species